ensembl:lncRNA
GACCAAAUGGGUAGUUCUCCAUCUCUGGUUCCAAAGACUGAGAUUCUGGAUAGCUCCUUCCUGGUGCUCAGCUGAUUUGUAGAUAACCACAGCCAAAGGCAUAAAGUAUAUUGAGCACUCUGGGGUUCUCAUGUCCUUGAUGAGGAGGGAUGCUCUUGUACCUUCUUACAAAACUGGUUCCUUAAACCAUGUCCAUACCCGCCCAGGUUCCCACCCUCUGACAGUGCAUGAGCAUGUCCUAAGGACUAGUGCAAGAGCAAACCUUGGCAAGCUAACCAAUGAUAGGUGAUGCUGAUGUUCUCUUGUUGAAGGAACUAAUACAGGGAGUUUUCUUUUGAAAAAUGGGAGUCCUAUGAGUUGAUCUAGCUUGCCUUUCCUAUCCCUCUUCCCUUCCCUGCCUCUCAGAUUGGGUGUUUGGCUUUUCAGCGCUUUCACUCAAGCCAAAUCUGCAAGCACAUUUUUGGGUGGAUGUCACCAGGAUCCACUUCCUCCUGGCCCACAGACAGUCUGUCUCUUAUCUCACUUACAUUAGUAUCAAUUAUUUACAGCAGUAAUGUUAAAUCAUGAAAACGAGGUUGCAGCAAAGCUGUGCCUUGGCUAAUGCCCCAUGCUGCCUGCAGCUUUUGGAGCCCUUGCGUUGUCUGCAUUUAACCUUCCAGAGAUGUGAUCCUAGAUAUAUUCCAUAUCUCAUGGCUGCAGGUUAGAGCAGGGGCAAGGCACUCACAUCCUCUAUGGCAUUUCUCUCCUUCCUUCUACCAGUGCCAUAGCACUUCUCAUAGCCUAUCAUUUGGGGGAAAGAAGCUCCCUCUGUGUUCACUCUGAUGCCAUGAGCUCUGAGCAGCGUGCUCAUGUUGGCACACAGUCCCUCACCAACUCCUUCAACAACUGCCUGCAUAAGGGAUUUUUUUUUUUGAUUCAUAGUAUUUAACCAUGAAUAUUUAAAAUCUCUGUUAAAUAGGGUUGUUAUACAGCUUAGAACAACAUAAAUACAAGUGUCUGGGCUUUACUUUGGAUCCAGGACAGCAGAAGUGCUUUACCUCUGAUGGAAAGUGCACCACUGAGUGAGGUGACGCUCAGUCUCCUGACCUUGGAACAGUGCCUACUUUUAGACUUCCAGUAACUCAGUAUUUUUCAGCUAAAUCCCUGCUUGCACCAGAGGAGCAAUCCUUUUCUAGCUGUGCUUCAACUGCUCACCUGGCACAUUCCCGCUCUGCUAGCUGCAGUUCUGGGAAGUGAAAAGAAACCUGAGGAGGUAAAAAGAAUGAAAAAAAAAAUGAAAUUUGGAUGUAGAUACUGUGCAGGAAGUGAGGUGACCCCUAAAUCAUAGAAUUAUGGAGUCAUAGCACCAUUAACAUUGGAAGAGACCUCUGAGAUCCCCAAGUCCAACCCCACCCCAUCCCACAGUGCCCACUGCCCACGUCCCUCAGUGCCACAUCUCCACACUUCCAGAACACCUCCAGGGACAGUGACUCCACCACCUCCCUGGGCAGCUGUGUCUCUGCAUCACUGUUCUUUCUGGAAAGAAAUUUUUCCUAAUAUCCAAUCUUAUCCUUCCCUGGUACAACUUAGACAGCUGCCUGCAUGGUCCUGUUGAGCUGAGGCAGAGCUUGCCUUGGCCAGGCCUUUCCCAUUGCUCAGGGGAUGCUGAGGCAUUGAACAAGCUCCGAGCUCAGCAGGUUCUCUGCUGUUGCUCACCCAUGGGAUUUAGGGGAGAUGCAGGUGUCCCCUACAAGGGAGGAUGGAGAACAGGAAGACUGUUUUAAUUUUGAGCUCCUGUGAGUCACUUCAUUAGCCCUGCCUCUGCUUGACCCUCCUGCUGUUAUAUCAGCCUGACUGUUUAUUUUCCUCAUAAAACUAAAACAAGAUCGAUUGCUUUGUCCCGAGGCCCUUUAUGCGUCUUGGUGCCCACUGCAGCCCUGCCGUUAGCAGCAGGCCUAAUGCAAAUUGAAUCUUUGGGAAACGGGCAGUUUGGAGCUGCCCAUCUUCCUCCUCUUUCCUGCUUAAGUUUCAUCUAUUGCAUUUAAAAUAGAAACUUUAUCUAUUUAUUCUAAACAUAAAUAUGCAUUUUUCUUGCUGUCUAUAUGUGCACGGCGUGUCUCUGUUGUAGACACAUAUAUGCGAUCAAUAACCAUCUCUUGCUGGGGAUUUAAAUAUUAGUUUUCCAAAUCCAGUCUAGAGCAUCAGAUUUAUUUUUAUGAAAAUAUACCCUUUCUUGCUUAAGGAGGGAUAUUAAUUAUAGAUGCAAACCCAUAAAUCUUCCGGAUUUAGGUGAGAUAUUUGCUGGAUUAUAAAUAUGAAUUGGAGAUGAGGGUCUUGCUCUUCCUAUUAUUACUAUUAUUAUUACUUACUGGUUAUUAUUUCGGUGUGAUCAGUAUCUUCGGGUGGGUCAAAUAUUGCUGGGGAAUGGGGAGCUGAGCCUUCAGAGGGUGCGCAUGCUGAAUUCAUUAAAAUGUUUUCUAUUCCACCCUUGCUCUCCACUGCGCUUCGCAGCCCGGUGAGUCAUUAAACACCCUGUUCAGAUCACUUCCCUUUCUCUCCAUCCUUCUUUUGGUACCUGUUUUCAUUGUGCUGCUUUUGCCAGAUCAUAUCAAGCUCCCUAGUGUUUAUUAAUAAUGUCCCACAUGCUAUUGACAAUGUGCUGUUGUUUCCGAGGGUCUGCUUCAAUACCAGUCUUGGGCAGCAGUGAAACCAGCGGCCAUCAGAGAGCCCAGACUCACCCAGGGCUUUGGCACAGGUAACAAUAUUCUGCUCCAUUUAUUAUGACAAAUGUGGGAACAAAAGUAGUGUGCCACAAGGACUGAUCCCUUCCAACUCAAAACGUUCCAUGACUCUAUGAUAAUUGCACGUUUCUUGCUAAUUCAGUGCAAACUGAGAUAGGAGUAAGUCACAGUGAUUCUCCCAGCCUUCACCAAGUGCUCCAAAGCCAAGAGGCAUUUCUAAAUCCCAGUUAACAGGAGUUAAAUGGAAGACUUCACCAAGAACAUCAGGGCUUCCUGGUUCCCUGCUGAUCCUUCAACCAUGGGAUGCAAAAGGUGAGAUGCUCGCGGGCAUUAGUAGCAGCAAGAGGCAUGGAGCAAGGCUGGUGUGCAUCAAGAGAGGUUCCUGCAGGCAGCUCUGGCAGGUGCAGCAAUGUAGGGGGCUGCUGACCAAAGGAAAGCACAUGGUGGGAUCUCAAGUUGAUUUAAUGUAACACCCUACCCUGAAAUUAAUAGGACCUUGCAUGCCAGGACUGAAAAGAUAGGGCACUGUGUAAGGUCUGCUUUUUUAAAUUAGAGUCCCCUGCUUAAAUAAAUUAAGUGAGCUGUCAGUAUAUUAAAUGAUUUAAUGCCUUCUCCAGUUUUGCAGUGGAAUCCUAAUGAAAAUACUCUUCAGUAUAAAACGCUGGAUAAAUUAAAUGGUGAAGUGUUUUAAUAAAUGGUCUGUUGUUAUGGUGAACCACAUUAAAGUAAUGUUUAUCUCUAUGGUAAUGAUGUUGCCCUAGCUUUAAAACCAUUUCUGCUGGUUCAGGCUUCUUCAGAUAAAAUAUAAACGCUGAGUUGUUGUCCAGUUUCAAAAGCAUCUGCACAGUUCCUGGACCCAAACCUGAAAUCGAUGGCAGUCGUGCUGGCUGGCCAACACAGGGCUGGAUUCAAUGGAUUCAAGAGCAGAGGACUCUUGCACAUUUGCUCUGUGAUGUCAGCAGGGGGAUGAGGCAGAGCCUCCAAGCUGCAGGGGUGAGGCCCUACACGUACAUUGGGACGAGUUUGGGUAUUAAUGAACUACAGUGGAACAGUGAGUAGGCUGUGGAGGGGCUUAAAAUCUUUGCUGAUCUCAUUGCAGGUUAAGAUAACAAAUUAUAUCUCUUUUAUAUCCUUUAUAUAAGGUAAAGGCCUGCUUUUAAAGGUAAAGACAUUACGAGAAGAUAAAGUCCCUUUUAUAUAAAUUGGUUAUAAAACAAUUUUUAUUUUCUUGCUUUUGGAUAUCAGUUCUUAUUUGACCUCUUUCACUCAUCACAGUAUUUCUUUGGAAGGAAAAUUCUCCCCUCAUGCUAUUUUCAGAGCCUGAAAACCCAGAAAUAACAUCUUAGUGCCCAAAUUAAUUUUACAUUAAUAAUAAUAGUAUUAAUAAAAUAUACCUGUUUGUCCCCAGCUGCACUGAAAGAUGUCACUGGGGCUUACAAGACAGCCCCCAGGAGAAGCCAAAGGGUAGUUCUGGAGAUGCCCAAGAGUCGUCUGCACCAAAGGCUUUUGUGAGGAACUUCCAUGAAAGGAGAAAUUCCAGCAGCUUCUGAACCACAGAGCCAUUCCUCUGGCAGAGCUGAGGUGCCCAUGAGAGUCACCACUGAGGCUGACCACGAUCCAAAAGGAGGGGGUCGUCCCACUCAGUGCUCAGGGAUGAUGUCUUAAAUACUCAUAAUUAAGGCCAUCAAGAAAUCAGGGGAGGAGAAUCCCGUUCAUGCCGUGUGGGUCUCUGAGUGUUCAUUUAAAGAGUGAUCUUUGGUGGAUCUGAGAUAUACAUAAAAACAAAACAAAAACAAAUCCAUAUGAAUUUGAAAUGGUGAAAGAUGGUGAAACUGCUUCUUAGGAAGUGGUUCUGGUGUUGGUUCUGUCCGUUUAAGAAGUUCACCUGUCCCAGCAUGAAUUUUGCAGUGUCAGCUUGCAGUUACCGGCUCUUUUUAUUGCUCUGUCUGCUCGAUUGAAGAGCUUUCCAUUUCUGUCUGUCUGAGCACAUCUGGAUUGUCAUUAAGCCAUCCCUUAACCUCCUCUUUGUUAAGCUAAGCGCACUGGGGUCCUUGAAUCUGUCACUAUAAGGCAUGUCUUGCAAUGCUUCCGUCAUUCUUGUGUGCCUCCUCGGAGCCCUCUCCCAUUCAUCAACAUCCUUCUUGAGCUGCAGACACCAGAAAUAGCUGCAGGGUCCCAGCAGAUGCUACACCAGAGGUAUUCCACUCUGCUAUUUGUUUGAGCUUCCAGCGCUGUGCUAUAGGAUCCCUCCUCCCCCUGAAUGCCAUGAAAUUCCAGUUCCCAAGUGUGGCUUUGUAUGUGCAUGUGUUGAACUGGGUGGUUUUUUCUUCAAUCUGACUCAGGAGAAGGCUGAUCCUCAGCCCCACCAUGAUCCAAAUCGAACUCAUCAGCGAACUUUGAUUGUAAUUAGUUUUGAUUUUCUACCAUUUUGCUAAAAGUGAUGAACUGAAACACAGCCACUUGUGAUGAGUGUCUGCACGCAGCCGUACAUUUAAACAUAUCAGUGGGGUUUUCAUCCGUUUAGUGCGUGCCGUGUUGAUUUUACAUUGUUUUAGCUUCCUAAUAAAUGAGACAACAUUAAGUCAAAUGCCUUGCAGAAGUCAAACGUAACAGUGUUGAUGAAAUGUACUAAAUCAAUCAAAUCUAUAAUCACAUUCUUGAAAAAUUAUAUCAAUUUCAUUUAAUAAGAUCUAUUUUCCAUUAACUCAUGUUGAUUGUAAUUAAUUAUUCUCCUUAAAUUGUUAUUAAUCAAGUCCCCUAUCAGCUCUUCCAUUAUUUCUCACAAAAUCAACAUCAGAUAAUCAGAUUUAUAAUUACGAGCGACAUUCCUACGCUGGCACAAAGUCAGCAGCACUCGGGUGUGCUGCGUUCUUGGAGUCCGGGGCACGAGUUGGAGCUGGAGGUAUUUCACACAGUCCUAUGACAUUGCUAAUUUACUUAGCUUUUCCCCCGAAAUUAGAGGAAUUAAAUAUUUAGUGUCUGCCUUCUAUGUAUUUUCUAUUUAUCAUCUGCUAUUCUGUCUAGACAACCACACUCAGCCACUGAUAUCUAAAAACCACAUCCCUACUGCUCUUGGCUCUGCUAGCAGAGGUCUCACCUGCUGGCCUUCUGCUUGCUGUUGGUUAACACAUUUUCCCUUUGUGUGAAGGUAGACCUCCCCUUCCUCCCCCCCGAGUCUCUGCUUUAACCAGAAUAACCUUCUCUCUCUGAGCGCUGAGAUUUCACUAGAUGCCCUAAAAGCCAGAGUGCUUUUAAACAACGAGUUGCCAAAUAUCACACACAUUUUCUCUUCAAAAUCCUCCAAGUGACCUGGCUUACAGUGUUGAAAAGAAAAAGUGUCUGCUAUCUGCUCAGGCUUCGUUCCAUCUGAGCCCUGCACAUAAGGUGGAAAUGGCAUCCCCUCCGUGUUGGCUGUAAGUGGUUUUUAGAGCUGCGAUCAGCUCUUCAGCUGUCAAGACCAUCCUGCAGAGAAUCCUCCUGAUUUUGGUUAACAACGGCAUUUAUAAAUUCCCAAAAUUGGCAACACAAGCCCUCCAGCUCACAGCAUUCAAGUUCAGGUUUUCCAAGACACUCUAUAGGAAUUUUCCUUAAAUGUUUCUGGUUUCUGGUGAGAUUUGAGCAGUGUCAUCCAUUGGCUUUUACUUGUACUUGAGGUCACUUUCUCUUGAGCUCCCAGUGACUUGGAUGGCGGCAAUGUCACUUCUGGUAUUGAUUGUCCCUCCUACACCUUCUUUGCCCACUCAGUUUCUUUUUUUUGCAAAUAGGUUCCAGCUAUUGAUUUUAAUAUUCCAGGCACAUGGAUUUUCUCCCCAAGUUUAAGUCAUGCUCUCCAGAUAGAAUUUGUACUCAUAAAUUAGUCGUUCCCACUCUUUUUUAUGGCUCAGCCUUCCUGCGCUACCGUAGAGGCAAUUAAAGUUCUUCUCCUCGCAUCCUUUCGUGUGUUCAUUAGCUCUCUCCUCAUCAUUUUCUUCCUUGAGCCAGAGACAGGGACGGGUGCGGAAUGAAUUCUGUUUCCUCAUUGCUUUCCAGUGCCUGUAUCUCCAACCCAGUCCAAGCAUCCCUCCCAGCAGAAAAGCUAGAGCCCAAAGAGCCAUUGGGAGCACCACAGCAGAAGGGAAAACCUUUGCUGAUCUCAGCACUGACAGGUUUUGGUGGCAAUGAGCUGAUGGUUGGACUAGAUGAUCUCAGUGGCCACUUCCAAAUUCUACAAUUCUAUGAUUUUGGGGUCAUCAUGGAUGUAGAAUGAUUCAAACUCCAUUGUGCAACAGUAUCUGAUCUCCCAAAUUCUCCUGGCAGCCAAUUCCCCAGCUCAGCCCUACUGCAACUGCUCCCCAGACACACUGAACCACAAGGAAAAGCCAUUUGGAUUGUGCUCUCUUGCUUUCAUGUCCAUGGGGGAUUUCCUGGGAUUUUGCAAGCCCCAGGGAUUGAGGGCAAAGCCAACAGAGAAGCAGACCUGUGCUUAGGGCACCUGCACAAGCUAGCCUGCAGGCUUACAGCUUCACUGUGGUUUGAGGUUUGAAGGUUUCCUAUCAGCUGCUCAUCUCCUGCCUUUAUGUAACAACAAUAACAAAACACACAAAAAUAUCCCUCAGAAAAUCCAACCGUCUUUGCUCUUGCAGGUCCUGAACUGUUUGCCUCUGAGGGCAGAACACAGACUUUGGAUGGUUUUGAGAAGUCUCCUGUCUGGGUGGUUUUAUUUAUAUCUGAUGCAUUUUAAUGCAGAAUGGGCAGAAAAGAGAUGCUUCAGAGCAAAGUCAAAGCAGAGCAGUUCUGCAGGUCCGGCCCUCACUGGGUUCAGUGGUGGGAUGUGCUCAUCACCCCCUCUUCAAAAUAACCCCCCACGUCUCUUUUCAUCCAACAAAACAUUUAGGUGCAUAUCUGCGAGUGAAGGAGUACAAGAGAAGGAAGCAUAAGGCUGUAAAAUAAACACUCUACAAAAUGCCUCCAGGUUGCUCUAAAUUAUGCAUCCUUCCUGUUAGGAGAUGUUCAAGGUUGUCUUUUCCUGUGAACAGCGCUCCUCCUGGGUCCUCACCUUCAUUUGCUGGGAUGCCUCUGCUCUGGGCUUGCAGUUACGUCUCCUUCCCUUUCGCUGCCUUUACAACCAUUUCUUUGCCGCCUUUUAUAAUUCAGAACACGACAAAUGAAUUCCCACCUCAGCUCAGCACUCAGAUGAUGGGAAAGGGAUAAACGGUCCCUGGUAGCAGCUCAGUGCACGGUGAGCAUCACUGCAGCCCCGUGCGGUGUUUUUUCCCUGCGCACAUGCAGGACAGACGGGCGCAGGAGUGGAGCGAUGCUCACAGCCCCAGUCCCUGGUGCAGAGCUGGGAGCAUCAGUGGGGCAAACCGUGGCCAAAAACACACGGACUCUUCUGGGAAACGGCCCAACCCUCUCAUUUCUGUAAUGUGAUUGGCACAUGGCUUGGUUUUGCAUUCUGUUUCUAAAGGAUAGCUGCUAUUCUUUUUAUUAAAACCUCUAAAUUUCAUUAGUUUGCACUUACCAAAAUAAACCUGGCAUCACUAGUGAGCUCUCCUGCGGCCGUGCCAUCGAUCUGAUGCAGCCCCGCGUCACACCUGGCACGGUGACAGCCGCGUCCCUCCAUGCUGAACACAGGCACCCGCUCUGCCUGGAGGCUGAGAGGCAUUUUCAUGGAGUUCUGUGAUGAGGAACUUUGCUUCCAAGUUUCAAGGGGGAAAAAAAGAAAAAAAGAAAAAAAAAGAGAGAGAGAGAGAGAGAGAGAGAGGUUGAUUGUAAAUUUAAUUCCUGUAUCUUAGUCAUUUCUGGGCCAUGGGUCAUUAGGCACACAUUAGUGCUGCUGGGCAUUUUUCACAGGGGCUGCACCAGCAGAAAGGAGCUGGGUUUUGCAAAGCCAAGGGUGUGAGAGAGAUCCGUGUGCAUGAGAAAGCUCAGUCCUGUGCUCAGCCCCGCAGUGCUGGGAAGUUCCCCCAAAUACUCCCGGUGUCCGUCUGUCCGCAGCCAUGACAAACAGCCCGGGGAAGCAGGCUCCUUUAAUGGGCUCCAGCAUUUUAUUUAUAGCCCCUUCGAAUAAGUGCAGCUGAUACUUAAGAUCGGCGGAUUUAAUGACAGCGAGCUGGCGAAAGGCCAGGGCUGCAAAUAGCGCCGCUAAAAGUCUUCUCCGCUAUAAAAUUUGUUUAAUGCAAGAAAUCAUCCCGUGCAGGUUUUUUGGCUGGCAUUUUUAUAAUUAGCGGGUGAAAUCGCCAUUUCGCCCCUACGAUCCGCCAGCACUUUAUGGGAUGGGGCUGCCUUGGAGAUGGAUUGUUGUGCUGGAAGAGGCGCUGAAGCUUUGCCACUCCGUAUCAUCCCACUCUUCCUCGGGGACACCCAUGUAUGCCCACUCCCAGCACCUUUCCCUUCCCUCCAGGUGUCAUCUCUCCGAGGUUUGACCAAGAGCCCAUCACACUAAGUGGUAAGGCAGCACGGCUGGGAGCUGGGAACUUUGGGAUCUGUAGACAUGCACUGAAGCCACCACACUUGGUUGGUGUUUGAUAACUUCGCCGCUUUUCACUAAGGAGCCCUCAGAGAUUUCGGCCCAGCUCUCUCCUGUACAAAGAUGAACCAUGGGUGAGCCCUGGCCAGCUCUGUGAUUUAGAUUUCCCAUCGCUUGUCUGCGAGCUGGGCUGAUAUUUAUGGACAUGCUCUGGAUCGGAGCAGCCAGGCUGAUAUCACCGGAGGCAAGACCUGAAUCAGACGCGGAGAAAUCAGCUAUUUAAAUGCACCGGAGUUGCUGCGCUCCCAUUAAACCCCAAGAAACCCAAUUGCAGUUUGGAGAUAGAGGUACAGCGAGAGGAGGUGUGGGACACACUUCUGCACAGUCACCUAAUGGGAAAAGACAGAGCCUGGGCAGAAGUGAGUGAUAAAGGAAUGGCGAUGUCCAAGGCUUGCACAGCUCAGUGCUGCAGCAGCACCUAUGAGAGCAAGCAAAGGAAGAGAUGCUGUCUCUGGCAAGGGAGCAGCUGAAGAACUGCUGUCCUGUACUUUAGAUUUGAAAAGUAUAUAUAGUUUUAAUUAUUAAUGACACAUCAGUUUGAUACACGUGACAAUGAGGCAGCAGAGAUGCUCCAUAGUUUUGCAUGGGGUUUGUGGCUGCUCAUGCAAACCCACAUGAACGAGCAAUAUCCGAGCCUUUGCUUCAGCUCAGCUCAGAGCAAAGUGUCCCAGCACACAGGACUGCCUUGCCAGGUGCUGACAGCCCUCCCGCAUGCACACAACCAGUGCCUUGCUCAGAAAGACUGGAGGAGGGGGAGUGGAAUGAGGGUCAGCAAUUUGCUCCCUGUUGGAAAUAUCCCAACAGCAAGGAUAUCAAAGCUGCCCUUUAAGCAGAAGCUGAUGAAAAGCUGCUACAAAUUAAUCUCUUAACAUUUUAAUUUAAUGCACGUUUUGUUCCAAGAACAGGGGUGAUCCAGGAAAGGGUUAAUCCGAGCUGUGCACCUAGCACAUCCACACCAGAUUUGCAGCAGUGUGGGUAUAUACAUGCAUUUCUAUCACAUACACAGGUAUUUCUUUAUCAGAGGCAUGUGGGCUGGACAGCAGAUGGGCUCUCCUCUCACCACGGUGGGGUGUGGGAUGCCACACAAAUUCCAUCAGGGCGACCUGCAGCCCAUCAGCAUUGCAGCAUCACAGGGAGCCCCAUGGGAGCAGGGACACUUCCCAGCAUCACUCAGAGCCACUUCAUUGGCUUCUUUAUUUUUAUUCUUUUUCAUGUUGUGAUGCCCUAACGUCAUUGUUGGUGGGAAAGAGCUGAACAACAGACAGGUUCUGACCAGUCCCUCUCUGCCAUCAGUCUCACAGCAUAACCGAACUGCUUUAGUUGCACUUAAUUGUGCUGUUUGUUUGUUUCCAUGUUGUCAUCAGACAAUAAAUCCAAAGCAAUCACUGUCCAAAUUUUUACAGUUUUCCCAAAGGGAAUGUCAAUUACCUUUCCCUCCCAGCACCGCUGACCUCUGCCACAUACAAAUCCCACUUUUAUUCGGAGAAAUGCAGCCACUUGCUCCAAUUAUUCAGCCUGCACUCUGAGGUGAGCAUAAAAAAAGAGUGUUCAGUAGGUACAUCCAGAAAGGGCUGGCUUAAAUCAGUAUGGCUGUGACCCAAGGCAUGAAAUACAGCCCCUCACACACAGCCUAUGUGUACGGAAGGUUAGCUGGAGGAGUGGGACGUUGCUUCAAAACAACCCUGGAGGCCUCAGUUUGGGUGAAAUCUCCAUCUGAGGGAUUACUUCUGUUGCUGAGGAUUUGCCUGUAGAAAACCUUGCCAUGACCCUUGGGUCAGGGGCAGCCUCGGAGCCCAUCAAGGGAUGCAGGAGGGAUGGUGAAGUGGCACCCUCAGUUUCCAAAGGGGAAAUGCAGUUUGGGACAGGAGGAGGGUGGAGGAGAGAAGGCUUCCUCCUCUUGCUCUUCGUUUCCUGCAGGGCCCAGGGGACCUCCUGGUGGGGCAUGACACAGGGAAUUGCCCAGGGAAGGAAUAGCUUCAGGUGAUGUUCCUCUCAGCAGCUGCCCUCCUCGUGCUUCACAUCGCUCCAUCCCUGCCUGGCCUUCUCUGUGCGCUGCCAAGCUCUCCGCAUUUAGAUGCCAGCCCACCUCUAUUCUCCACCCAUCUCCUUGGAUCAGCCACCUCAACCACAGAGCCCUGUCAGGGUGCCAGCAGGUGCAGGUUGGUGGAUGGAUUGGUGAUGGGCUUGAGGGUGGAUACGAGGGAUGCCUUUCAGGAGCAUAUCCACACAUCUUGUGUCUGGAGGGCAGCCCCAGUGUGCUGAGGACCCUUCCUCAGCUCUGAGUGCUGUGCUAUUUGAGAAUCUGAAAUCUCACUGUGCUCUUCUCUACCAUCCUCUCUUUGUGUCUCCUCUCAGGACCUCCCCAUGGCAGUGGGCAGCAUCACCACCCCAUCCCUGGACAGCCACGAGCCACACAGGAUUUCUGCCUGAAUUAACCUUCAUUAUUCAAAUCCCACCCAGAACACAGGUAGUGGUACCGACUCAGUAAGAUGAGAAUGCUUUUGUAGAAACGUCCCUGCCAAGAGCAAGUUACCCUUGGACAGGGAGAUAGGGUUUUGUGAUUGCAGUUUUUUGCAUGGAUGAUGUCCUUGCCUGUCUCAGAGAGGCUCACUGUAAAGGCUCAGAGGUUGGGUGCCAUUGCUCUGCAGUACAUGGGCAUGUCCAACCCACAGCCCCACGAGCUGCAGAUAGAUGAGGAGGGUAAUGUAAUUCCAUCUUUGGAAAUGUCAGACUUUAUGGAUGAAUAAAAUACAUUCCAUUUUCUUCUGUUUAUCAAUAUCGGGUGAGAACAGACUAGAAAUUGCUUAUAAAUGGAUAGCAUCAGGAGAGAGGCCAUCUAUUUGUUAUCUAUAGCAGAAGCUGAGCACUGAUCCUACUGUGGCAGCCACAGGUCAUAGAAUCAAAGAAUCACAGAAUAUCCUGAGUCAGAAGGGACCCAUGAGGAUCACUGAGUCCAGCCCCAUCACCUCUGCAUAGAAUACAAUAAAUGACUAAAAUAGAAAAGCGAGGCAUGGAUAGAAGAAAGAGCAACGUCGGGUUCUCCUCCGUUCAGCCAAUAAUUCUGACUACACAGUGUUUAAUGUUUGGUGAUGCCAUGUACUGGUUUUUCCAUAAGAUGGUCUCAAAGCCGCUGUGUGCUCUGAGUUUCGAUGGGAAAUCCACGGUGCCAUGUGAGGGUGGGCUCCCCAGAGCUCCAUGGGGUGUGCAGGAGGGAUACAGUCCCCAACAGCACCAUAACGGUUAAAGGAGAGAUUUCAGGAAGGGGAACAGAACAGCAGAGAGUGAACUUUGCAGAUAAAUUAUAGCUAAAGAGGAAUGAAACAUUAUAGUUUCAAUUACUGCUGUGCCCAGCCACGCAGGUAGUAAUUCAAACAAGAAACAAUUGGCGGAUUGUCACCCUCAAAUCAGACACAUACCAUUUAAUUCCAUUUACUGAGGGUUCACUGACUGUAUUUUGAAUCAAAUACAGCCAUUAAUGUGCAAAGAUCUGAAAAAUGCAUGUGUCCCUUUUACAAAUGUGACAAUGAGACGCUAAUUCCUGUAAAGCCCUUUUUUCUUCAGGUUGGACUGCUCCUAUUGCCUUUAGUUAUGCAGAUAUUACUUAUUAAGAGUUUUAAUAUGUCAGGCUGGUUCUUUUGAAAUGCCUUGUGCCUUUUUGUUCAGAGCGUGCGGAAAGCGCAGCUAAAUCCAUUCUUACGUUCCAUCAUCCAAACUUAGCAAAUUGAUUCGAAUGCAGGAAAAAAAAAAAAGCUACUUUCAUUAAAACAAUUAAAUCCUUACUAUUAUUGCUGUAUCUGGCUAUUACAGCACAAAUAUAAAUCAUCGGUUACAGGAGCUAAAAGCUUUCAGCUGGAAUUGCUCUACCGUCUGCCCCAUGCCAUGGGCAGGGAGGAAGGAUGACGUGCACCAGGCUUCUUUAUGGGAGAUGCUGCUGCCUAAAUAAAAAAGUCAAGUCCAUAAAGUGAAUAUUAUUGUGCUACCUUGUUUCUCCCCAGCAGUGAAGCAAUGCAUGCCAAUGGGCAGAGCGAAUAGGAGGAAAUAGUUGGGUUGGUUUUCCCUCUCCUCGUGAAUUGGGGGACAUUUUGGAAGGGGCACAAAGGUUUCGGGGGCAGUUGAGUGCUUUUGUUUUCCUUUUCUAAAUAAACCACGGAUCUGCACUGCCACACACUCCCCCCGUGGGGUCACGAAGUGUGCUGCAGAAUAAAAACGGAGCUUUCUGUGAUAGUGCACUUGCCCUUCAGAGCCGCUUGGAUUGCAUCAAAGGGCAAAUUGUUUAAAUAUAAUUUUCCUGAUUACUGAAUAGGUCGACCGAACAGGAUAUGAAAUGCAAAGGCUUUUCUCAUCUUGCUCUUUGCAUCAUCCUAGGGCACACCUCGCUACAGGUGCUGCCUGUUGGCUCAAGGACACUUCCAGGCGGCAGAAUAUCAAAGGAGCAGGGAUGGACAGCCCAGUGCAUCCUGCACAUUUUAAAUUGCUUAAAAAGACUCUUUUGCAAAGGGAGUCUGAGGCAGGGACCGAAAUCAGUGCUCAGCAUGUGGAUUAGACAAACAGAGUGGUCAUUAGCGCUGAUUGUCAUUGUCACACAAGCACAGACUGUUAAUUCAGCCCAGGAGUCAUUAGAAACGAGCCUCAGCGGGGAGAGGGGUUGGUGUUGGUGUAGAUGCUGGAUGGUGGCUCUGCUGGCUUGGCAGAACAUGAAGGAGACCCCUGAGAUCCUACACUGCUCCGGUUGUAAAUUCCAAAUGGAAACUCCCAGGAAUUUGCCAGGAAAAGGAUAAUCACUCAUUAUUCUCAUUUGUGGAAAGCUGUUUAAACCCAGCCCUGCUUUUCUCUCCCCAUUCCCAAGCUGAGCUCAUCACCUUUCUGAGAAGCCACGCUCUUCCAGGACAGUGUCUCCUCUUCCAGCGGGCUUUUGCCCUGGCUUUUCUCCUGGGUCCAUUUGGGAGGGUUCCAUCUUUGCCCCAGUGCUUUUGCCAGUGGCUGCCACCAUCCAGAGAGAUAUUCAGCCUCAAGGAGUCCCCAGCAAAGAGCACCCACUGCCUUCCAGCCUCACCCCAGCAGCAGCGUUGAGGUCCCACAGCUGCAGAGCAGCGCCCGUUGUGCUGUGUGGGUGCCCCUUUAUUGGAGUUCCUCCCACCACGUGCUUGUAAUUUAUUUGUAUUUCCAGCAGAGAUAAUUGAGUUAUCAAUUCUGUGCUCUUUUGGGCCAGAAGCAAAGAGAUCAGAGAGCUGUUUUAUACACCUAAUUAUAGAUUAUUUCCCAUAGCUAUAAAACCACAGAGGGACAGAUCCAGAGAGCAUCCUUUUCAUCUCCACUGACUUUUCCCUUUGCUCUCUCAGACUCGGAUCAGAAGGGCCUCCAGACAAAACAGUUGUCAAAAGCAAGGGCUCCUUAUCUCCUCACAGGACAAAACCUCUCGGCAUCCCAGUAGAGACCGUGCACAGUUGCUUAAAGAUCAAAUUCAACUUAUACUUAACCAAUCUGCUUAAGCCUUUAGCACCUCAUUGAGUCGUGCUGAGAUUUAUUCCGUUUCUGCACACUUUGGCUAUAAUCUGGUUCAUGACAAUGGCCUGGGGGUCUGCUGAGGAUGUAAAAAAUUGAUUUUCUUUGCCACAUGCAGGCUUUGUGGGCUUGCACUUGGCAUGGCCCCUCAUGCCCCUGCUAGCUCCUAUGCUCAGCCUGCUCCCUCCUCCCCAGGCAGCUCUGAGCACCCUGCAGCAUCCGCAGAUCCCGCAGAGCUGCAGUGCAGAGCAGGGGUUGAGGUCCGGCAUACCCGAAUUUUCUAUGUAUGGAAAGAAAUGGGAAGUGUCCGUGCGUCGGUGUUAAGUUUCUGGUGGUGACACGCAGAGGCCAUCCAAGAUGUAUGACCUAGCAAAUGUAUUGUAACGCACACAUCACAUUCGUUCUCUGGGUAAAUAGAUAUUGUCUAGGGUACAUUACAUCUGUGCCUUCGUGUUUAAUUUAAUGUAAGUGAACUGCCUUAAUUUCUCCAAAUUGUAGUAAUAAACAUAACGUUAACGGUGAUACUGCUAAUAAUUUAUUUUGCAAGCGAUUAAUCAACAACAAACUCUUUUAAUUACCUGUUCUGAAAUGUCAAACUCUAAACUAAUUACAUGUUAUUACAUGAAUUCAUGUAUAUGUAUACACAAAUACGAAUUCCAAGGGUAAUUAAAAUGAAUAAACCAUCAGAUUUGGUAAAAUCAUGCAGCUGAGAGAAGUUUGCUCUCCACUGCAUUUCUGCCUCUUUGCAUUUCAUCCUCAGCACAAAGGGAGCUAGAUUCCAAGGCUCUGAGCGAGUCGUUUGUGCUUCUGCAAAAAAAUAUUACCCACAGAAAGUGGCAAACCCCGUGGGAUCUAUGCUGAGAACCACAAGGAAGAGAGGAAAGCAGCUGUGCUGCUCUGCUGGGGGGAGUACAGAGUGUGGGGCUCAUUUGGGUGCUCCCUGUGCAGGGGGUGAAACCAAGCAGGACAGAAGUGGGUGGUGUACAUUUGCUGUACUCAAUAAUUGGCAACGAUUUUUGGAAGGAGAUUGGGGGUGAAAUUAACAGAUUUGGGGCACGACCAAAUCUGUUCUCCAUUUUGUGUCCUUGUUGAGUCUCUCCGUGCAGGCACAACACAGUGCUCUUUGCAACACCCUGGUGACCCCUAGAUGAGAUUUGGAAGACCACUUCUUUGCACUGGCACUCCAGACAUCAUGGCCAAGUGCCCCCAGCAAUGUGGGGCUGUAUGCCAGUGGGUCACGAAAGGAUGGAGACCACCAGCUUGGAGGGUCUGGGAAUGAAGCCUUUAAUUCAGGGGUGGACACUGAGGCAGUCCCAAUGGCUUGCAGCAUGGGCUGGAAGAACAGGAUGAUUAAUGAGAGCAAUGGCACGAAGGAGCCAGGAACUAAGUAAUGAGACCUUUAUUUGAUACAUAAUACAGCCGGGGCCCUCUAUAAAGAGAAUACCAAGAGUAGGGCUAAGUUUCACAGUUCUGGGAAUGUAUCAGGAAGGGGGAAAGCUUUGCUGACUUUGCAGCCAAACGCCUGGGCCAUCCGCAAGUGUUGUUCGCAGUGAGCUUGGGACAUGUUAAUUUGGUCAUAUAUCUUCAGAUGGUGGCAAGAUGCCCUGACUUUUGAUUUACUGUGCUGAGUGGGUCUGUGUGAUGUUGUGGGUUUAAAAUGAGGUGUCCAGAGCCUGAUUCAGUCACAGGAUCACUGAAUUCCAGCUGGGAGAUGAAGAAGCCGUUAUACACACACAACAAGAACUUCCAGCCAAAAAUUACUUAUGGUUUCAAUUAAAGGAGAAGAAGUUGCUGAUUGUUUAGGUAUGGAUGUCAGAAACACAGCAGUUAACAGCAGAGAUGAAUGAGAGAUAGUGAGGUGAUAACUUAGAUAAAUUGGUAUCUCAUCCAUAUUAAGGAGACAGCUCAUCCUCUGGUGCUGCUGGAUGACAUGAAGAGUGGAGUGUAUAUGGAUACUAAAAAACGUUGGUCUUAAAGUUAAAUCCCCAAGAACCAUCAGAAAUAAGUCUCAGAAGCCAAAGUGAGAUCUGAUGCACGCUGCAAAAAUAUGCAGUCUGUCAGGGAACGCUGCUCUCUCCAUAUAACUUCCACCGUUUGUGGGACAAUUAUAGAGAAAAUGAUACUGUGAUCUGUAAAGCAGUUCCUGCAGUGGUUUUAUUCACUAACUCGAUGCCACGCAUAAUCAUAGCCAGUAACAUCUCCAGAGGUGUGUGCAUAAUAGAGAGACAUCAAGUCAAUGAGUCAAAACAUCAGAAAAUAAAAUUCAGAUGAACAUCACUUGCAGAAAUUCUAUCAUCUGUCAUUUAACGCUGUCUGAAGACCUCCACGUUGAAAUAAGGCGUGGAAACCAGAAGUUACCCCAGGCAGCAGUCCUUAGGACCUGCACGGACUCAGGGUUCUCUGCAAGUUGGGUUGAGUGCCAAAGAAGUUCUCUUGCGAUCUUAAAACUCAAGCACCCAAAAAACACCAUAGAGGGGAAGGCAGGGAGCAGGGAGGGUCUGUCCUGCCGUGUCCCCACCUCAGAUCCUGCCCAGCAUCACCCAAGCAGCUGCUGCUGGGAGCGGAGUUGCUCCUGGAUCACCUUAAGGCUAUUUGCAGCUCUUGCUGAUGCCCUUUCAAUACCCAAUCCCGAAACUUUUCAUGCGAGGAAGCUUGCAGGAUGACAGAUUGCACCUUAAAACAAAGAGGUAAUAGCUCUUAGGUCCAGAUCUGUUCUUGGAACUAAAUUCACUGCAGAAGAAGUGUUUCUGCACAACUGCAUAAUGCCUCAAAGUGGCAUUUUACAAUCUUUAAAUUCCAACACCGAUGAAGAAUUCUGCUUUAAACUACUGCAGCAGCCCAGCCCCCCUUUAUUUAUGAGUAAUAGGCUUUUCAUUUAGAUUUAACUACAGAUUUGAGUGGUUUCCAUGUGCCAGGGCUCGGAGUCACACCAGUGUCUCCUGAGGUGGCCGUGCUGUUUCCACAGAGUCACUCGGGAUCCCCAACAAACCUGUCUUUGCAUACAUACGUGUGUAUUUUAUAUAGAUGUACGCAUGCACUUCAUUUUUAAAAAGACAAAGUUUUUAUUCCAGGCUUCAUUUUCCUUUAAACCGUAUGAAGCCAAAGUUCGAAAGGAUGACCCAAAAUUGCCAGUUUGAUUGUAAUUUCCCCCAAAAGAUUUUGGGUUGUAGGUACAUAGAGAACGAUGGCUUUGCUUCCUCCUUUCUGCUCAUCAUCCCAUGCAAUGCUGAUGUGCCAGGAAGCGUGGAUGGGAUCAGGGAGCUUGGUGAGUUUGCCACAUCAGUAGUCACUGAGAGUGCCUGAAGUUUCAUUUUUCAAUGGAAAGCUGCAGUGAAACGAGUAUUUUGCUACUCAUCUUGUUAUUAUUCAUCAGUGCUUCCAAGAACCUCUCAGCCCUUUGUUUCUUGGGAAAGGCAUGGUGCUUAAAGGGGCUGAAAGGUGGAUUUUGUGGAAAGCCCAACCCACAUCUUUGAUCCCAGCGGUUUUGUAAGGCAUUCGUUUUGCUCGCUGGGAAAAUCUCUGCCCUCCCCACUCCCUCACCUCCCUCUCUUUCCCCUCCACCUAAGUUACCUCGUCUGGAUCCGAAGGAACGCUUGCCAUCCUUUGAAGAGGUAGUCUCGUCCGAAAAAUCAAUAGUCAACAUUGUCUUUAAAUAGUCUGACAUUUACCUUUACAGCAGUUUUCAUUUCUUUCCCAGAUUGCUCAGACGUUUGUAUUACCCACACACUACAUCCCUGAUCUCUCGGCCGGGAGCUUUGCACGGAUGCAGCCCCGGUGCUGCAGAGCGGCCACCAGCAAGGAACUGCAGCACGAUAAUUAACAGGACGGGAGCUCACUAAUAGAAGCAUCUUUAACUAAUUUAUGGAAGACAUCAGGUGAGAAUAAUUACAAGCAGAAGGGUAUUGUAAAUCCCUGAAGAAAAUACACUUGGAAUGCAGUUUUCCCAACAAGCAAAUCUGAAUGCUAGCCCAAAGGUCAGAAAUAAAAAGGCUGAGAGCUUCAGCUCCCCGAGCAGGCACCUCUCCGAUCCCUUCUUGUCAAGAAAUUGUCUGGGGGUUCAUUUAGAAAGCUGCUUGUUCAGGGCAGGGCCAUUUGCAAUCUGGGAAAGUUAAGCAAAUUAGCAGAAUUAUUAGGUAAGAGGCAAUUCUCCACAGCCUGCAAGGCAACCGCUUGUUAAAUGAGCUCACACCAGAGAGUUGCACUGAUCGAGUGGUGUUUGCAGAGACGGGGCUGUGCAGGCAUUUGCUCUGAAAUAAUACUGCUGUAUUCCCCUGGAAAAAUUAAAAAAAAAUGGGAAUUUGUGCAGGCUGAGCUGGAAGAUGCCUCUGUCUUCCAUACGCAUUCCUGCUUCUCUGCUCCUUCUGCUAUAAUAAAUAUCAUAAUCCUAGCAAAUGAGAGAAGGAGAUUAACCCGACACCUUUAACCCAGUUACUGCUUAAAAUAGGGAGCAGUGUGGUGCCACGAGGCCCCAAAGCAGGUGGCUCUGCACCCGCUGUCCCCUGGGGCUCAUAGGGACAGCUGUGCACUGCAGCCCCGCUGCUCUGUGCAGUGUUGGGAGUGGGAUCCAACUCAGGUCCUGCAAGGAGCCCACCCAAGGGUGGCUCACACUGCUCACUUGUUUUUCUAUACUCUUUGCCUAUUGAUUUGAUAUUUUUAUACCUUAUACAGUGCACUUAGCACAGAAAAAAAAAAUGGAUUAACCAAGUAAAUGUGCUUUAUUAGCGGAUCUCUGAUGGAGAAUGAUGUCGGUUUUCCAUUUAAAAGAUGCAUCGGAUUCAUCCACUCAUGAAUCAAUUAGUUCAUGCUUGAGGACCUCCUAACAUGCCACAUAAAAAACUCCCAAUGUCAAACUGCACGCUGGGUGGAACAACCAAGGGUUUCAAAUGAAAAAAGUGCAUCACUGGGAAACCUUUGGCUCUUCCACCACCACUAGGAUGGAAGCACUCUGCCCAACUCUUAGUUAACACAUUCUUUCUGUUCCUUGGUUUCUUAAAAUCUUUCUUUUUUUCAAGUUUUUAUUGACAGCUUUACACUCCUCCCUCUGCUAUACAAUGGAGACGGGCACAUAUCGUAAGCCUUUCCAAUGGUAGUUUUGGGGUCAGGCUGAUUAGAUUUGGGAAGUGUCAAUUGUUGAAUGCUGUCCUCCUUCUGUCUGAGACUAACAACUCUCCCUACUCAGAGGGUUGGCCCUCUUUCUGUCCUUCCUGAGGUUUAGGGCUCAUUGGUCCAUGCUCCACACCAUGAAAAGGCACAUACACUUUCCUAGUGAUUCACAUUUCUGCUUAGAUAAGAACCAACAGGCUCCAUCCCACCCUGGAGCCCCUGGGACUAUGUGGAAGGUCGCAGUGUUUAUUUUUGGUCUUGUCCAAUUAAAGACAAUGACCUGGAGUAGAUGAGAUGCCUGGGCAUGCAUUCAUAUCACAGGCAUAAUGCAAGAACCGUAGGCAUUUAAAUGGGAAUUCUUUCUCACCCGGUUAGACCGAUGCGUAAGGAAAUAAUCCAAGUGGGGCAUUGACAAGAUAUUUUUUGUUGUAAGUCUGCAUGCUAAAACCCCUAAAUAAAAGGAUUUUACUCCUUGAGAGAAAGAGGAAAGGCUAUGCACACCCAGCCUGAGGUGUCACUACAACUCAAUGGGAGCAAUGCACGAGCACUGAGCUGCUGGGAUGGCUGCCUGCACAUUGGGUGCCCACACUAUGUACAGAGCAGAGGGCACUGCUUAAACCUCAGUCAAAUAAGUAAACAUGGACAAGGAAGUAAAAACAGACGCACUUUUUUCUCAUUGCUGCGAAGAAUUCAGGCCAUGCAAGCACCAGGGCUGUGCAAAGAAGAGCAACUAUGUUUAAGAGCAUCCUUCUCUCUCUUGGAUGUACAUCCAACAGCAGAUAACAUCACCCAGCCCUUUCUGCUUUUGGAAACCAUGUGCAGCACAACUUGCUGCUCACAUUUAAUCCAAACUGAUGUCCUACGGCUGUCAUAUGCAUGAUUAUGGCAGUCGUUUUUAAUUAGUGAUUGUGUCAAUAGUAUUGACAUUUUCAUCACUUUUGGGGGAAGUAGAGAAUAUUUUCCAGCAGGUGAAGUCCCCUCUUUGCAGUUCUCUUCCCCUCCAGCUGCACCUACUGGAUAAAUGAGCUAUGCAUCUUAUUAAAAAGAAAGCAAGAGCAUUAAGUCUGUUCUCUGCUUAAGUACAUUACAGCAACUUAGGCAACACGAAACUCAAGAAAGGCAGAAAAGCAAAUACCCUCUGUCCUAUGGCAAGAUUUACAAUCUUGUUCUGAGUGCAAUAUUUAUUAUACGGCUUAACAGAAGCUCUGGCAGGAUGGGGGAAAUGCUGGCGGCCCCGUGACGAGGAGGAGGCGUUCAAUAGCUUGCUGGGAAGUGGAGUUGGACACGAACUGAUCAACCAGCCAUUACACUCAGUGAUAAACACCCUGCAGGAGCCAUCAUUCACCCAGGAAGAAAGAGGAAGGCAGAUCAUUACAUUUAUUGGUCAUAGUUUUUAAAGAGUCAAUAAAGACCCACUAGAAAAGACACGGUUAGGAGCAGGAAUAUAUAUAUUUUUUUCAUGUAUCUUGAAAAUACCUUCAGCUCAGUUUGCUUUCUGCCCAAUACGUCAGGGUGAAUCUUCAUCCUAGGUGAUGGUCCCAGUGUAGACGGUGCUCAUAUUGUACAGUUUUUAAUGUCUUUAACCAUCUUUAGCUUUGUACCCUGAUAGCCCCUCCAGGCUAUAUGUCAAUGCCAUCUGGGAGUAAAAGAAGAGACUUCUGCUCAAGUAACGCUGUAAUGUAGAUCUCUCGACUAAAAUUGCACUUCCUUCACUUGACAAACUGUCAGCACAGAACAAUUAUCUGCCUGUUGGUUUGCUUGUCUUUUCUUUUUUUCUCCUCUCAGAAAAAAGAAAAAAAAAGAAAAAAGAAGAAGAAAAAAAAAACCAUACAAAGGAAAAGGACCUGCAGAGUAAAAUGCCGUGGGCAAAAUCCACAUAAUCUGAUUGCUGCGCCCAGAGAUGCAUUGGUGGACCACCAAAGGUAAAAGUGGGUCUAAUGCUAAAGGAGAGGGACAAUUUCUAGCUCCUUUCUUUCGGGGAUUUCCAGAGAGGAUAUUGCUAAAUAGAAGAUUAGGGAGGAAGAGGCAAGAGUCAUUAGACCCCUCUGCUUGUCUUGAGGGAGAAACCAAAACAGGCUGGAAGAGUCCAAAGCUUGAGUCCUGCUCAACAAGCUGAAGGAACCAUUUGAUUUUUCUCUCCUGGUAAGAAAGGAUGAGGAUGAUGUCUUUAGGGAAGAGAGCCAACCUGAUUUUUUGCUAGCCAUCUUGGUGUUAAUGGGACCGUGCAGUUCAUUUGGAGAAUACCCACAAAGCAUGAGUAGAGCCCCAAGAGGUGUAAUCUAAAUUAGUGGGUAAAUUUAUUUGUGCACUUUUUUUUUACUGUUUUAUUUUCCUUCUUCCCUUCUGUACCACCUCUUUUGCCACCUCCUCUGCUUCACCUGACAGAUGAAUGUGUUCAGGUCUUUGGGACAGAUAAUGUGUCUGUAUCCCUUUUAAAAGUCCUGUACAAACACUAUGGAUAGGAGAGUGCAGGUGUAUUUAGUCUGGUGUGUUUAGCAGAUUUAGAUUAUGAAUUACUGCUCAAAAUAACGUUUGCAUUUGCUGACAAAGGUCUUUAUUACAGAAGAGGUCAAGAAAAAAAGAUUAUUCCUGCUAAUUAUCCACUGCUAUUUAAUAUUUGCACAAAAGGUUUGCAAGACAGAGUCCUCAGCAUUGCUUUGUUUGAGAAGCUAAUAGGGUUUCUAGGAAACCAGCAGGGUCUGGAGGGCCAUCAGAUCAGCCUGUUAGUGGCUUUGAAGGACAAUUAGGCCUGAUGGAGUUACAGGGUGGUUGGCUAAAGGAUGGCAGUCCCUGAGCCAGGGCCUGAUGCUGGGGCAUUCAAAGUCAGUGGUAGAACUUCCACUCAUAGCUGUGCUUUAUGAGAAGCCAACUGGAGAGGAUCCAGUUUUCACACCCUGGGUAGGUCCAUGUCCUGGUUGAAAUGGAAGCUCCAUUUGCUCCUAUGCAGAGCAUCAGAAGGGAUUUGAGAGUGAACAGGUUUGACAGACAAACUGUUGGGAGGAAUAUUAGCAAUUAUUUUUUGGCCCUGGUCUUAGGUUUGUCCCUGUAUAUUAGCAGUCCUUGGAAAGUUCCCCCAAAGUCUAACAGCUGCCUUUGGCUUGGCCCCCACAUUUCUUGCAUUGGUUCAUAGUAGCCUGUAUCGUUCUACAAAUUCCUUAUUAAGUGAAUUGAAGUUCCCAUUCAUAAAGAUAUAAUUAACCAAUAAAUAUACCUGCAGAAAUUUCCAAACGUAGAUGUCUGAAGGUGAGAUCCAAGUUUAAGCUCCUAAAUACAUGGCCCAACUUUAAAAUCCCCACAUCCAUCUUCUUGCUUCAAGUGAAAUGGAAGCUUCCUACUAUUCAGUGCUCAGAUGGCUGUGGGGUACCAAAACACAGACCAAGGUGAUGUUUUGGCACACGGGUUUAUAGAGUGAUCAAAGUAGUGUGACAUCAUUGCACAACAACUGCAUCAGAUGAUAAAAUGCCAUGUACUCAUAACAUGUUGUAUGGAUGCUG